AUCAUUUUUUGGCCUUUUGGCUAAGAUCAAGUGUGACAUUCUUAUUAGUUUCAUAUCUGAUACAUAAAAAAAUUCGAUAUUAAAAACGAUUCCCCUCUGUGCUUCAACUACAAAUCCCUU
ensembl:snRNA U2 U2 spliceosomal RNA